UCUACGGGGGGCAGCAGUGAGGAAUAUUGGUCAAUGGUCGGGAGACUGAACCAGCCAAGCCGCGUGAGGGAUGAAGGUACAGAGUAUCGUAAACCUCUUUUGUCAGGGAACAAAGGCGGGGACGCGUCCCCGGAUGAGUGUACCUGAAGAAAAAGCAUCGGCUAACGCCGUUCCAGCAGCCGCGGUAAUACGGGGGAUGCGAGCGUUAUCCGGAUUUAUUGGGGUUAAAGGGUGCGCAGGCGGUCUGUUAAGUCAGCGGGGAAGGCCCGGGGCGCACCCCCGGCCCGCCGUUGAAACUGGCAGUCGAGAGUUGGAGAGAAGUAUGCGGAAUGCGCGGUGUAGCGGUGAAAUGCAUAGAUAUCGCGCAGAACUCCGAUUGCGAAGGCAGCAUGCCGGCUCCACACUGACGCUGAGGCACGAAAGCGUGGGUAUCGAACAGGAUUAGAUACCCGGGUAGUC
rnacentral:rRNA from 1 species